ensembl:lncRNA
CUCACAUCCCAUCUUGGACUCAGUGCUCUCUUUUGGACUCUGCUUCCCCCACUCUUGGACUCAGUUUUUCCCCCUGGAUUUCCCCCACCUGGACUUGGUUCUUCUCUGGAUUCUCGCCUGCCCUGUUUCAAGUCUCCAACCUGCCAUAGCCCCACCUGGACUCUUGUCUCCCCCAUUCCUGGAUAACUGCUGGUCCCCUCUGUCUGUAGCUCUCUGUCUGCCUGUCUUGUUUCCCUGCCAACUUCCAGAUUCCCCGUGUCUGCCUACUUUUGCCCCAUUAGUCCUGUUCCCCACUGGUUUUAUACCCUAGAAGAUGCGUUUGAUGUUAUCUUUUGGAGCACUUGAAGGCCAUGGUGUAUCAGGUGAAGAUGCGACACAUAAAUCAUCUCAAGGAAUGUAUCACUAACGCCAUUACAAGCAUAACUUCAACUAUGCUAAUGCAAGUUCAUCAACAGUGGAAAACACGUAUUAUGUGUUUUCAAAACAAUGACUAUCAUAUAGAGCACAUUAUAUAAAUAAAAAUGGUUGUCCAAC